rnacentral:rRNA from 1 species
GACGAACCGAGCGAACGUUGUUCGGAAUCACUGGGCUUAAAGGGCACGUAGGCGGGUGCUCAAGUCCGGGGUGAAAUCCUCCAGCUCAACUGGAGAACUGCCUCGGAUACUGGGCGUCUCGAGUGUGGUAGGGGUGUGCGGAACUAUCGGUGGAGCGGUGAAAUGCGUUGAUAUCGAUAGGAACUCCGGUGGCGAAGGCGGCACACUGGACUACCACUGACGCUGAUGCGCGAAAGCCAGGGGAGCAAACGGG